UACGUAGGCAGCAAGCGUUGUUCGGAAUUACUGGGCGUAAAGAGUGCGUAGGCGGUGUCGAAAGUUUGGCGUGAAAUCUCCCGCUUAACUGGGAGGGUGCGCCGAAAACUGCGGUGCUGGAGUGUGGGAAAGGCAAGCGGAAUUCCUGGUGUAGCGGUGAAAUGCGCAGAUAUCAGGAAGAACACCCGUGGCUAAGGCGGCUCUCUAGUACGGUACUGACGCUGAGACGCGAAAGCGUGGGGAGCGAACAGG
rnacentral:rRNA from 1 species